GCUGACUUCUUGAUGAUGAUUUACCAGAAAAAAAACCUUGAUAGUUGUCAUGUUUCUGAUGGCAGUGAAGACAAACAAGGAGCUCGGACAGCUUCUAC